GUCUAUGGCCAUACCACCCUGAACACACCCAAUCUCAUCUGAUCUUGGAAGAUAAACCAUUUGGCAAAACAACAGCAAACACUAGUAAGUUUUGCUACUACCACGGGCCCACGACUUCCCCAGCUCUAGGCU
rnacentral:rRNA from 1 species